AAGAGCCUAAUCCCGGGCCACACUUUAGGGUCGGUCGUAGGAUUUCACGCGUAGUCGCUCGGCCGGAGCUCCUUGAUCGCUCAAACCAGGAACGCUGCGUGGCCCUCCGUUCAUUGUCGACAGACAUGGCGAAACCGCUUUUGUGUCAACCCAGCCAUAAAAAGAAGAUGUCAAGUGACUGAUAGGGCCAGCAUAGGAUUCACGGAAGUUAGUUUCACCUCCAGAAGGAUAACUCCUCUUCAUUUUUUCAACCAGACAUGAUGGGAAGUCACAUACAUAAGAACGGGUGUAAUUCACAUGAUGUCAUACCCUCUUCAGGGUUUGUAUCCCUCUGUGAAACUCCAUCGAGUUUAUAUGGACCACCAGGAUCUACUAGGGAAAAAAAAACAUUCCAUUUUCAAAAGGUAUGAAGAUGAUGAAUAAUUUCAACAAGGCAAUAUGUUGUCUUGCUAAAUGUAUACAUAUUUCGAACGGCACAAAUGCAAUUAACAUUUCUAGAUGAGGUGGGAAUGGAAGCGAAGUAACGCUAAUAAUUCCAGCAACCUACCUGUAUGGAAAGCCUAUCCGGUGUGUUUGUGUCCGAUACAGAUUCAUUUUUUGCUUCGAUACAAAUGGAAUCUUCUGAAUUGUACCGCCUUCUUGGGAGACUAACGGUGUACACUUGCUUGGGAAACUAACAGGUCCAAGGCACGGAUACUCGUUAGCCAGUUUGGGUUGAUUAUUGUCUGAAAACACAGGACACAGAUUAAUGGACAAAAGAAAUGUGUCGUCGUUGCAAGAAUAAUCCAAUCAUCUUUCUUCAUCCGCGAAACCGUCAAACCCAUCUAAGAACACUCCCAGACACAAAAAAGGAGAACUGUGUCAAAUUUUGUCAAAAUCUGCAUAGGCAAAAAACAUGCGAACCAAAGGCGUAGGUUUGGAUAGGAACGGUAGGGACAUAACACUAGCAACUUUUCAGAAUGCUCAAAUUGUCCCCACCAAUUUUUAAGCAACCUUAUUUAGAGUAUAUUCAGUUCAGUUAUAAGUUAUAUAGAUUGUCUUCCCAUAUUUUGUAAUGUUAGGAUUUACCCUACCAUUGUUAAGUGAAUUAUUUUCAUUAUGUUCGGACUAACAUUUGCCCCUUUUUAAUUGCUGGAUGUACCAGUCCAUUUCCCCUCCUCAAACGCACCUUUGAUUGGCUGAUGACUUGCAUCCAUUUAAAAUGUAUUUGUAUAUUUUAUUCAUUUUAUUUGUGUUAUACCCUGACCCUGAUUCAUUUAUUUAGACAGUCAAAGACAAAUGUUUAUAUAUUUUUUUGCAUUCCAGGAUGGUUCGAGAUAAUGAGCAAGUUUGUAUUUAUCAUUUAUGUUAUUAUAAUGUCAGUUAUGUUCAAAUAUUGCAAUUUAAAUUUGCUAAUAAAAUCAUUUUUGGAAAUUUUCAUAAUGUUUCUAUAGUAAUUUUGAAAACAAAGGUUUUAAUGGAACACUGCAUCACCUGAACCAACACAUAUGAACGUUAGUAUGAGUCAAUACAGAUUAAUUUUCUUUUGAUCAUUUAGCCUAUCAAUUUAUUUGGUUCAUCUUCAUGAGAAAUGUAGCCCUUUCCCCCGUCGACCCAAUCUGUUUGGUCUUAUUAAUGUCCCGUCCCCAGCAAAUGUGUACAUGCAGGUUAAGCUGUUAUAUCGUCCCUACCAACGUUGAGACCAAACUUAGGCCCUUGAUGCAAACACCCACACACACUCAUACACACUCACACAGUUCCAUUUAUAUAUAUGUAGUGUAAGUAUAGAUUCAUUUGACUUUAGUUUUAUUAUGUAUUGCACAUUAUAUGCACAAAAUACAUGUGUGGCCACUAUUUGUCCAGUGAUUAGCCUGUGUAAAAAUAAUUUGACUGCAAAAAAUGACAAGAACUAUGAUCUCUGUAAAGUGUGAUAUCGCCUAUCCCUACCUCCCAGUCAAAAUUAAUUGGUCAACUAGUGACGUCAAUGGCAGCCCACGAGUCGUCUGCUACUUUUUCAAACUGUCCAAUGACUCGUGUGCAUACUUUGUAUGUUCAACCAAGGGCAUAGGUUUGCAUAGGGACAAAACACUAGCAACUUUUCAGGAUGCUCAAAUUGUCCCCACCAACUUUGAAGCAACCUUAUUUGCAUAAUAUAAUGUGUUCAGUUAUAUAAUAAUGUGUUCAGUUAUAUAGGUCAUUUAGAUUGUCAUCCCAUAUGUUGCACGGUAGAAUUGACCCUACCAUUAUUAAGUGAAUUAUUUUCAUCUCUUUCAGAAUUACAUUUACCCCUUUUUCACUUUCUGAAUGAGCCAGUCCAGGUUUUUUCCUCAAACACAUGUUUUAUUGGCUGAUGACUUCACUCCAUCCUUAUGCACUCUCUCUCACAGUACAGAAUUACGUGACAUGCCUUCUCCGCCUGCUUCGAAGAGGAGGGAUAUUAGAAGCUUUUUUUUCCGGCCAGCAGUUACUGUAAGUAAUGUCAAAAGUGAAAAGUUGGGAAAGGCAGCACUAAUUUUGCUAAUUAAAGUGCGACCUGCAUCACAGUUUAGCAUUAACAUUACAUUAAACUGUGUGAACUUUCCAACCUGAGUAGGGAGAAGCAGUGUUCUCCUGUAUGUGUAUUUUACUAUGUUAACAAUUAAACUGAGAAAUGUAGUGAACCUCUGCUCAGCUGUAAGGAAUGUAGUGGACCAAGGUUUACCACCUUCUUCCCAGUUUUCAUUUUUACUUUGCUUACAUGGUCUUAAAGCAGCCCAAAUGAGCUUGCUUGCUUUUUUUUUGUUGAAUUUGGCUGCGCUUGUGGACAAAAGGAGUCGUGUUUUUCCUGAAGGAAGCCUCCAUUUUUAUUUAUUUUUGUUAUUCCCGGACUAAAAAGUUAUUUUGUUAUAUUUUAUUUAUUUAGACGGACAAUUUUGAGUGGUAUUAAAACAAAUGUUUAUGUUUUGCAUUCCUGGAUAGUUAAAACAUGAUUAACAAUUUUGUGUUUCUUUGAAUGUUAAUACACAAAUUUGUGUUCAAAUAUUGCAAUAUCAAUUUGCUGAUAAAAUAGAAUAAAGUCGUUUUAGAAAAGGUUUGAAUCAGUGUCAAUCUACUAGGAAUAAGUGAAAUUAUCUGCCAGAGCUUCAAUUUUACUCGAAUUCUUGAAAUAAGGAAAAAUAGCUAGCUGAAAAUAAGCUCAACAGACUUAUUUUAGGCAAAAAGCUUCUAGAUUAAAAAAACAACAAAAACAACCUAGUUUGUCAGAAACGUUGUUAAUUCAAGAAUAGGUAUUGUUCAAAACAUUAAAAAAAAAAAAUCUUGAUUUGAGUGAAAACUAGGUUUUUUGGAGUUAAUGAGAACAAAUGGUAAUAUUUACUAAACGUAAGUGGAACAAUCUGACACAUUCAUCUGCUAACUAGCCUUUAAAACUCAAAAACAGAAAAUGAUUCGACUAGAUUUAAGAAACAUCAGAUUAACACGUUAUACUAUAAAUUUACCGUGUGAAAAUUAGUAUAAAUCAAUACAGAUUUAUUUUUGCAUUUAUCAUUUAGCUUAUCAAUUAAUUAGGUUCUUAUUGGUGAGAAAUGGAGCCCUGACCGCCUUUCACACGGUCUGUUUGGUCUUAUAGGGAAUGGGACGUACUACGUCAUUGUUUGGACCCGCCUCCAUGCUGGCAAUAUAAUUCACUUCCGGGCCGGCAGAGUCAAUGCGGAUUGUAACGUGUGAUAGUGCUAAGCUAACUCUUUCGGUGUUUUAGAAAGAAAAUAUGGGUGCUUUAUUGUUGCGUUACCGGGUGCAACAGCGUCUCCUACGACAAAAAAAGGGGUGAGG